AGAGUUUGAUUCUGGCUCAGGAUAAACGCUGGCGGCAUGCCUAAUACAUGCAAGUCAAACGGGUGUACUUGUACACCAGUGGCGAACGGGUGAGUAAUGUAUAGGUAACCUACCCUUAAGACGAGGAUAACCAUUGGAAACGAUGGAUAAUACUGGAUAGUAUACGACUCCGCAUGGAGAUGUAUUUAAAGGCGCUUCAAAGCGUCACUUAAGGAGGGGCCUAUAUCGCAUUAGCUAGUUGGUGAGGUAACGGCCCACCAAGGCGACGAUGCGUAACUGUGCUGAGAGGCAAAACAGUCACAUUGGAACUUAGACACGGUCCAAACUCCUACGGGAGGCAGCAGUAGGGAAUUUUCGGCAAUGGAGGAAACUCUGACCGAGCAAUGCCGCGUGAAACGAAGAAGAUCUUCGGAUUGUAAAAUUCUGUUAUUGGGGAAGAACUUAUCUAGUAGGAAAUGACUAGAUAUUGACGGUACCUGAUUAGAAAGCCCCGGCUAACUAUGUGCCAGCCGCGGC
rnacentral:rRNA from 1 species